rnacentral:rRNA from 1 species
AUUGAACGCUGGCGGCAUGCCUUACACAUGCAAGUCGAACGGCAGCACGGGUGCUUGCACCUGGUGGCGAGUGGCGAACGGGUGAGUAAUACAUCGGAACGUACCUUAUCGUGGGGGAUAACGCAGCGAAAGCUGUGCUAAUACCGCAUACGCCCUGAGGGGGAAAGCGGGGGAUCGCAAGACCUCGCGCGAUUAGAGCGGCCGAUGCCUGAUUAGCUUGUUGGUGGGGUAAAAGCCCACCAAGGCGACGAUCAGUAGCUGGUCUGAGAGGACGAUCAGCCACACUGGGGCUGAGACACGGCCCAGACUCCUACGGGAGGCAGCAGUGGGGAAUUUUGGACAAUGGGGGCAACCCUGAUCCAGCAAUGCCGCGUGAGUGAAGAAGGCCUUCGGGUUGUAAAGCCCUUUUGUCAGGGAAGAAACACCGGCUCUAACACAGUCCGGGAAUGACGGUACCUGAAGAAUAAGCACCGGCUAACUACGUGCCAGCCGCCGCCGUAA